rnacentral:lncRNA from 1 species
CGUUUGUUUAAAAUUCCCCUCCUUUAAUUACUGUGGUGUUUUACCUUGCUAAAUCCUUUUCCAAAACUAAGCAUAUUUUAUACUUAGACUUGAUUAUUUACUUCAUGGAUUUACUGCCCCUUAUAUGGAAAUAAUCAAUAUGUCCCCAAAACUAAUUUCAUUCCUUAAUUAACCACUGUUAGUAUCCGUUAAGCAGUAAUUCCUUAAUAAAGGGAAUCACUUGUGUUAAUUGAUUUUUAUUGUGGUAUUUUCCUUGUGAGUUGAAACAUUACUUAUUAACUUAUUCUUUACUCAUUUUCAAAACUAUAAAUACAUACCCUCUUUUUCUUUAAAAGACACAAACGAUUUUAGUUCAGAACACACACUUACCUCAACAAUUUCUCUCUUUUCUCUACUACUACUUGUGCUACUACUUUGUCUAGCCGGCUGAAAGCCAAGUCUAGACUGUGGAAUCUUUCUUACAUUUCCUUUAUGCACUUGGUUUCUCUAAUGAUACGUCAUAGUUAAUGUUUUAACCCCAACAACAACAUGUUUCUUUAGAUGUUUCAGUUUUUUUCACUUUUUCCAACUUCUGCAUAUGUUUCUGCAGUCAAUUUUUUUUAAAUUAGCAUACUGUAAUAUGUUCCAUUCCCCCUUAGAUUAAUGCUUCCCUAUGUGUGCGCUUGUUGACUUAUGAAUCCCAAACCCCCAUAUCCCCUCUAUGUGUUUGUGUUCUUUGGCAGGUUUGUGCGCAUCCAGCAUCAUCUAUUGUUGUGCAUGACUAAACCUGACCAUUACCGAGGUCAUAUGUUUCAUUCAAUGUAUUCACAAACCUUGUGACCCCUUUGUUUAACUACUGAUCUUGUGUUUGAGUUUUUUUUAUUAUCCCAGCUGUUUGCAAACACUUCUACUACUGUUUACCUUAUAAAAUUGACUUUCCAGUUCAGGUUUAAAUAAUCUCUUCUUCAACUAUGUUAUGUUCUUCCACUAUAUUCUUAGAACCUAGGUUCUGUCCCUUUUGUGUGAGCCUUGAUUUGGGACCUUUAAGCUCCCUCUAAACUUGGACACAUAAGGGAUGGCCCUUCCAUACUAAACUCGUUUCCUUCCGGUUAUGCAAACCUGG